GGAUGUGGGUGUUAGCAACGAAAUGGUCCGACCUCAGCCGCCUGCAGGAGACGACGCAGCUGCUGUGAUCUACAGUGUGGUUACCCCAGCACCGGCCCGGCAAACAGAUUCAGUGUACGCAAAUUCCACCAUCAGAGCCUCUGAUGACAAUGUGAUUUAUGCUGUUGUUGCCAACUCGAAGGGGAG